GACGUUAGCUGCAGAAGAAGCACCGGCUAACUCCGUGCCAGCAGCCGCGGUAAUACGGAGGGUGCGAGCGUUAAUCGGAAUUACUGGGCGUAAAGCGCAUGCAGGUGGUUUGUUAAGUCAGAUGUGAAAAGCCCCGGGGCUCAACCUCGGAAUUGCAUUUGAAAACUGGCAAACUAGAGUACUGUAGAGGGGGUAGAAUUUCAGGUGUAGCGGUGAAAUGCGUAGAGAUCUGAAGGAAUACCGGUGGCGAAGGCGGCCCCCUGGACAGAUACUGACACUCAGAUGCGAAAGCGUGGGGAGCAAACAGGAUUAGAUACCCUGGUAG
rnacentral:rRNA from 1 species